rnacentral:lncRNA from 1 species
CUCGAAUGACAAGAAAUAAAGCAACUCUCAGGGACUGACUAACCAGCGAAGGGCUGGCAUGAGUAAUCUGCUGGUGUUUACUGCUUCUCACAGGGACAGGGUUCUGAUGUGCAGUAACUCGGUUCCUUCUUAACUGACAAAUAACGGUAUAUAUUUACCGUGUGUACCAUGUGUGUUCAGGUACGUGUAUGCUGUGGAACAGUGAAAUUAAGCUACUGAACAUUUGUGUCACCUCACGUAUUUAUCUGUGGUGAGAACCCUUGAAAGCAAUUUUCCUAGCAAUUUCAAAUACCUUUUGUUAUUAACCAUACUCGCCAUGAAGGAGUUGGAGCUCCAGAGCUUUUUCCCUCCUUACUGAAAUUUGUGUCCUUUCACGAGCAUCUCUCCAGUGUGUCCACCAACCCCAGCUUCUGGUAAGUGCGGUUUUACAGUCUGGCUUCUCAUACUCCACAUGUGAGUGUGAGAUCAUGCAGCACCUGCCUUUUUUAUUUGGCUUAUUUCACUUAACUUAAUGGCCAUCAGUUCGCCCUGGAAGUACAUGAUACCCUUAUUUUAAAGGCUGACCAGUUUUCCAUGGUAUAUAUACUUUCUUCAAAUGCUAACCACUUCACCUGGAGUGCAUAACUGAGUAUGCCGUUACUCCAUCCGUCCAUGGACGCUGACAUUUUCCAUCCCACAUCUUUUCAUGCUGUACCUCCCCUCCGCCUGAGGUCUCUGGGCUACCGAAAGAAGGGCCACCAAGUUUUACCCUGAGGAGAUCAAGCUCCCUCAGCUCACUGAGAACUUUCUCACACUCGCUUGUCGGGGCAGCACUGGAAUCACAGUUUGGAGUUCAAAUCCCUCCUCUCCAGGUGUCACCUGGUUAGAUUACUCAUCACCUCCAUGCUUCAGCUUUCUCAUCUGUCCACAGGGUCGAGACUCUUGGUGGGCACCACCACUCACUCAGUGCCCAACCGCUGCCCUUGAGGUGUCAGCAAAGGUGCCCUGUGCUGGGAGGAGCUGCCCAGCGCCACAUUUGCAAGAUGGCUCAUUAACUUCUCUUCACAGAUCUAUUCUGUAAGAAACCGAGGCUUGGGAGGGUACUGACUUGCUCAGGUGGCAGAAGCAGGGUCUGUUUUCUGUUUGGUCACUCUGCUCCUGUGGUUCACCUGCCCGUUUCCCGUGGGGUGGCUGGCAACAGCCCUGGCGCUGCACCCUCCGGUGGGGGCUGCAGAGGUGGCGCUGAGCCUGGGUCUCCGUGUGUGGAUCCCUCCCGUGGCUCCUGCUGCAGCGAUGCACAAAGUCCUGGGCACAGAGCUGUCUGUGUCUGCUCCGUGGCAGUUCUGUCCCCACCACAGGGCUCUGAACAGGGCCGGCAACGAGCUGCUUGUCUGAGGACAAAGUCAAGGCCCCGAGCUGGAGCUGAUAAAACCCAAAGGUGGCAGUAGGGCUCUAAGCAGCCUCCAUGAGGCGACACACACAGACCUGGCUGCUGGCCAGGCUGCAGGCCUCCCACACAGGGAUGCUUAUCCUCGGGAAGGACAAGUCUCUC